CGUGACGUUCCGGAGUGGGGCGGAGCGACCCGAGAGUGAGCCGCGCUUCUGAAAAUCGGCUGACCCCUGUCGGCCUGGAGGGAGGCUGCUCGCCAGUGCCGCUUAUCCAUCGCUGCUUUUGGGAGUCACUCGCGUUUAGGCAUCUUGUUACCCAAAGUGCUGCAAUCAAACCAGGAGCCUCAAACACCCGAGGCAAGCACUCUGCCACUGAAUUACAGCGCAGAAGAAAAGUGGCUACAGUCCUUGAAGAGAUAACGGGGACUUCAGCCAAGUUUCCUGUACAAGUGGCUCACAGGUUAAACAACAGGUGCACCAGAGUCAUGUACAGGAGUCUUUCCUCACCAGGCCCACUGACACUGACUGGGAAACGAAGGACUUCGUUGUCAAUACCAAGGAAGUCAUGUCACAAAGAGGUAUAAAAAGGCUUUUCAAAAAAAUACCGUACAGUUUCAGUUCA